UUGGAGGGCAAGUCUGGUGCCAGCAGCCGCGGUAAUUCCAGCUCCAAUAGCGUAUAUUAAAGUUGUUGAGGUUAAAAAGCUCGUAGUUGAACCUUGGGCCUAGCCGGCCGGUCCGCCUCACCGCGUGCACUGGCUCGGCUGGGUCUUUCCUUCUGGAGAACCGCAUGCCCUUCACUGGGUGUGCCGGGGAACCAGGACCUUUACUCUGAACAAAUUAGAUCGCUUAAAGAAGGCCUAUGCCCGAAUACAUUAGCAUGGAAUAAUAGAAUAGGACG
rnacentral:rRNA from 1 species